rnacentral:rRNA from 1 species
UACGGAGGGUGCGAGCGUUGUCCGGAUUUAUUGGGUUUAAAGGGUGCGUAGGUGGGUUAAUAAGUCAGUGGUGAAAUACGGUUGCUCAACAAUCGAGGUGCCAUUGAUACUGUUAAUCUUGAAACAAGUGGAGGUUGCCGGAAUGGAUGGUGUAGCGGUGAAAUGCAUAGAUAUCAUCCAGAACACCGAUUGCGAAGGCAGGUGACUACGUUUUGAUUUGACACUGAGGCACGAAAGCAUGGGGAGCAAACAGG